GACGAACGCUGGCGGCGUGCUUAACACAUGCAAGUCGAACGGAAAGGCCCUGCUUUUGUGGGGUGCUCGAGUGGCGAACGGGUGAGUAACACGUGAGUAACCUGCCCUUGACUUUGGGAUAACUUCAGGAAACUGGGGCUAAUACCGGAUAGGAGCUCCUGCUGCAUGGUGGGGGUUGGAAAGUUUCGGCGGUUGGGGAUCGACUCGCGGCUUAUCAGCUUGUUGGUGGGGUAGUGGCUUACCAAGGCUUUGACGGGUAGCCGGCCUGAGAGGGUGACCGGCCACAUUGGGACUGAGGUACGGCCCAGACGCCUACGGGAGGCAGCAGUGGGGAAUAUUGCACAAUGGGCGGAAGCCUGAUGCAGCAACGCCGCGUGCGGGAUGACGGCCUUCGGGUUGUAAACCGCUUUCGCCUGUGACGAAGCGUGAGUGACGGUAAUGGGUAAAGAAGCACCGGCUAACUACGUG
rnacentral:rRNA from 1 species